UCCUUUCUUGUUUCUUUAAGGUCAGUAGUAACAUCCCCUCUUUCUUUCCUGUUUUUAGUAAUUUGAGUCUUUUCUAUUUUCUCCUAGGUCAGUCUAGCAAAAGUCUUGCCAGUUUUUGAGAUCUUUUCAAAGAUCGCCUAACACCUUAUUAGUUUAUUAAUAUGCAUAAUCAUAUUUCUGAAAAUGGGAUCCAGAAGCAUAUGAUCAUAUAUAGGCUAUAUUACUGAGAACAUAUUAAUAUUAAUUGACUAUGCAUAAAAAGAUAUUCCUUAAAACAGAUUUUGAGUAAAGGAAUACAUUUAUAGGUAAACGGAUUUUUACUUAUAAUAGUUCUAGGAAAACUGAGCAGUGCAGCAAGGAGACAGACAGACAGACAGACAGCAUCCCUGUCCUCAUCUGGGAGACAGACAGACAGCAUCCCUGUCCCCACCCAGGAGACAGACAGACAGCAUCCUUGUCCUCAGCUAGCAGAAAAACAGACAGCAUCCCUGUCCUCAGCCAGGAGAAAAACAGACAGCAUCCCUGUCCUCAGCCAGGAGAGAGACACACACAGAGAGCAUCUCUGUCCUCAGCUGGGAGACAGACACACAGACAGCAUCCCUGUCCUCAGCCGGGAGACAGAUAGACAGCAUUGCUGUCCUCAGCCGGGAGACAGAUAGACAGCAUUGCUGUCCUCAGCCGGGAGACAGACAGACAGACAGCAUCCCUGUCCCCACCCAGGAGACAGACAGACAGCAUCCCUGUCCUCAGCCAGGAGAAAAACAGACAGCAUCCCUGUCCUCAGCCAGGAGACAGACAGCAUCCCUGUCCUCAACCGGGAGACAGACAGACAGCAUCCCUGUCCUCAGCCGGGAGACAGACAGACAGUAUCGCUGUCCUCAGCCGGGAGACACACAGACAGUAUCGCUGUCCUCAGCCGGGAGACACACAGACAGCAUCCCUGUCCUCAGCCGGGAGACAGACAGACAGACAGCAUCACUUUCCUCAGUCGGGAGACAGCCGGACAGCAUCACUUUUCUCAGCCAGGAGACAGACAGACAGCAUCACUGUCCUCAGCUGGAGACAGACA
rnacentral:lncRNA from 1 species